GAUUAAGUUAUUAAGGGCGCACGGUGGAUGCCUUGGCACUAGAAGCCGAUGAAGGACGUUACUAACGACGAUAUGCUUUGGGGAGCUGUAAGUAAGCUUUGAUCCAGAGAUUUCCGAAUGGGGAAACCCAGCAUGAGUUAUGUCAUGUUAUCGAUAUGUGAAUACAUAGCAUAUCAGAAGGCACACCCGGAGAACUGAAACAUCUUAGUACCCGGAGGAAGAGAAAGAAAAUUCGAUUCCCUUAGUAGCGGCGAGCGAAACGGGAAGAGCCCAAACCAAAAAGCUUGCUUGUUGGGGUUGUAGGACGCUCUAUACGGAGUUACAAAGGACGACAUUAGACGAAUCAUCUGGAAAGAUGAAUCAAAGAAGGUAAUAAUCCUGUAGUCGAAAAUGUUGUCUCUCUUGAGUGGAUCCUGAGUACGACGGAGCACGUGAAAUUCCGUCGGAAUCUGGGAGGACCAUCUCCUAAGGCUAAAUACUCUCUAGUGACCGAUAGUGAACCAGUACCGUGAGGGAAAGGUGAAAAGCACCCCGGAAGGGGAGUGAAAUAGAACCUGAAACCGUGUGCUUACAAGUAGUCAGAGCCCGUUAAUGGGUGAUGGCGUGCCUUUUGUAGAAUGAACCGGCGAGUUACGAUUUGAUGCAAGGUUAAGCAGUAAAUGUGGAGCCGUAGCGAAAGCGAGUCUGAAUAGGGCGUUUAGUAUUUGGUCGUAGACCCGAAACCAGGUGAUCUACCCUUGGUCAGGUUGAAGUUCAGGUAACACUGAAUGGAGGACCGAACCGACUUACGUUGAAAAGUGAGCGGAUGAACUGAGGGUAGCGGAGAAAUUCCAAUCGAACCUGGAGAUAGCUGGUUCUCUCCGAAAUAGCUUUAGGGCUAGCCUCAAGUGAUGAUUAUUGGAGGUAGAGCACUGUUUGGACGAGGGGCCCCUCUCGGGUUACCGAAUUCAGACAAACUCCGAAUGCCAAUUAAUUUAACUUGGGAGUCAGAACAUGGGUGAUAAGGUCCGUGUUCGAAAGGGAAACAGCCCAGACCACCAGCUAAGGUCCCAAAAUAUAUGUUAAGUGGAAAAGGAUGUGGCGUUGCCCAGACAACUAGGAUGUUGGCUUAGAAGCAGCCAUCAUUUAAAGAGUGCGUAAUAGCUCACUAGUCGAGUGACACUGCGCCGAAAAUGUACCGGGGCUAAACAUAUUACCGAAGCUGUGGAUUGUCCUUUGGACAAUGGUAGGAGAGCGUUCUAAGGGCGUUGAAGCAUGAUCGUAAGGACAUGUGGAGCGCUUAGAAGUGAGAAUGCCGGUGUGAGUAGCGAAAGACGGGUGAGAAUCCCGUCCACCGAUUGACUAAGGUUUCCAGAGGAAGGCUCGUCCGCUCUGGGUUAGUCGGGUCCUAAGCUGAGGCCGACAGGCGUAGGCGAUGGAUAACAGGUUGAUAUUCCUGUACCACCUAUAAUCGUUUUAAUCGAUGGGGGGACGCAGUAGGAUAGGCGAAGCGUGCGAUUGGAUUGCACGUCUAAGCAGUAAGGCUGAGUAUUAGGCAAAUCCGGUACUCGUUAAGGCUGAGCUGUGAUGGGGAGAAGACAUUGAGUCUUCGAGUCGUUGAUUUCACACUGCCGAGAAAAGCCUCUAGAUAGAAAAUAGGUGCCCGUACCGCAAACCGACACAGGUAGUCAAGAUGAGAAUUCUAAGGUGAGCGAGCGAACUCUCGUUAAGGAACUCGGCAAAAUGACCCCGUAACUUCGGGAGAAGGGGUGCUCUUUAGGGUUAACGCCCAGAAGAGCCGCAGUGAAUAGGCCCAAGCGACUGUUUAUCAAAAACACAGGUCUCUGCUAAACCGUAAGGUGAUGUAUAGGGGCUGACGCCUGCCCGGUGCUGGAAGGUUAAGAGGAGUGGUUAGCUUCUGCGAAGCUACGAAUCGAAGCCCCAGUAAACGGCGGCCGUAACUAUAACGGUCCUAAGGUAGCGAAAUUCCUUGUCGGGUAAGUUCCGACCCGCACGAAAGGCGUAACGAUUUGGGCACUGUCUCAACGAGAGACUCGGUGAAAUCAUAGUACCUGUGAAGAUGCAGGUUACCCGCGACAGGACGGAAAGACCCCGUGGAGCUUUACUGUAGCCUGAUAUUGAAAUUCGGCACAGCUUGUACAGGAUAGGUAGGAGCCUUUGAAACGUGAGCGCUAGCUUACGUGGAGGCGCUGGUGGGAUACUACCCUAGCUGUGUUGGCUUUCUAACCCGCACCACUUAUCGUGGUGGGAGACAGUGUCAGGCGGGCAGUUUGACUGGGGCGGUCGCCUCCUAAAAGGUAACGGAGGCGCUCAAAGGUUCCCUCAGAAUGGUUGGAAAUCAUUCAUAGAGUGUAAAGGCAUAAGGGAGCUUGACUGCGAGACCUACAAGUCGAGCAGGGUCGAAAGACGGACUUAGUGAUCCGGUGGUUCCGCAUGGAAGGGCCAUCGCUCAACGGAUAAAAGCUACCCCGGGGAUAACAGGCUUAUCUCCCCCAAGAGUUCACAUCGACGGGGAGGUUUGGCACCUCGAUGUCGGCUCAUCGCAUCCUGGGGCUGUAGUCGGUCCCAAGGGUUGGGCUGUUCGCCCAUUAAAGCGGUACGCGAGCUGGGUUCAGAACGUCGUGAGACAGUUCGGUCCCUAUCCGUCGUGGGCGUAGGAAAUUUGAGAGGAGCUGUCCUUAGUACGAGAGGACCGGGAUGGACAUACCUCUGGUGUACCAGUUGUCGUGCCAACGGCAUAGCUGGGUAGCUAUGUGUGGACGGGAUAAGUGCUGAAAGCAUCUAAGCAUGAAGCCCCCCUCAAGAUGAGAUUUCCCAACUUCGGUUAUAAGAUC
rnacentral:rRNA from 2 species